rnacentral:rRNA from 1 species
GAUGAACGCUGGCGGCGUGCCUAAUACAUGCAAGUCGAGCGCAGCGGGGACGGGUGCGUAACACUUGGUUACCCUCCUUUAAGUCUGGGAUAACUUCGGGAAACCGGUGCUAAACCGGCUACUUAUGGAUGGCUCCUCGCUGCAUUAGCUAGUUGGUAAGGUAACGGCUUACCAAGGCAACGAUGCAUAGCCGACCUGAGAGGGUGAUCGGCCACACUGGAACUGAGACACGGUCCAGACUCCUACGGGAGGCAGCAGUAGGGAAUCUUCCGCAAUGGGCGAAAGCCUGACGGAGCAACGCCGCGUGAGUGAUGAAGGUCUUCGGAUCGUAAAACUCUGUUAUUAGGGAAGCGGUACCUAAUCAGAAAGCCACGGCUAACUACGUGCCAGCAGCCGCGGUAAUUC